rnacentral:rRNA from 1 species
UACAGAGGUCCCCGAGCGUUGUUCGGAUUCACUGGGCGUAAAGCGCACGUAGGCGGAUCUUUAAGUCAGGGGUGAAAUCCCAAGGCUCAACCUUGGGAACUGCCUUUGAUACUGGGGGAUCUCGAGUCCGGAAGAGGUUGGUGGAACUCCGAGUGUAGAGGUGAAAUUCGUAGAUAUUCGGAAGAACACCAGUGGCGAAGGCGGCCAACUGGUCCGGCACUGACGCUGAGGUGCGAAAGCGUGGGGAGCAAAC